GAUGAACGCUGGCGGCGUGCCUAAUACAUGCCAGUCGAGCGAACGGACGAGAAGCUUGCUUCUCUGAUGUUAGCGGCGGACGGGUGAGUAACACGUGGAUAACCUACCUAUAAGACUGGGAUAACUUCGGGAAACCGUAGCUAAUACCGGAUAAUAUUUUGAACCGCAUGGUUCAAAAGUGAAAGACGGUCUUGCUGUCACUUAUAGAUGGAUCCGCGCCGCAUUAGCUAGUUGGUAAGGUAACGGCUUACCAAGGCAACGAUGCAUAGCCGACCUGAGAGGGUGAUCGGCCACACUGGAACUGAGACACGGUCCAGACUCCUACGGGAGGCAGCAGUAGGGAAUCUUCCGCAAUGGGCGAAAGCCUGACGGAGCAACGCCGCGUGAGUGAUGAAGGUCUUCGGAUCGUAAAACUCUGUUAUUAGGGAAGAACAUAUGUGUAAGUAACUGUGCACAUCUUGACGGUACCUAAUCAGAAAGCCACGGCUAACUACGUG
rnacentral:rRNA from 1 species